ensembl:lncRNA
AGACAGGCCGGGCCAGGAGGCGCGGAAGCCUCUGGCUGGAGACAGGCAGGGCCAGGAGGCGCGGAAACCCCUGGCUGAGGUGCGGCCGGGCCAGCGGGUGCGGAAACCCCUGGCUGAGGUGCGGCCGGGCCAGCGGGUGCGGAAACCCCUGGCUGAGGUGCGGCCGGGCCAGCGGGUGCGGAAACCCCUGGCUGAGGUGCGGCCGGGCCAGCGGGUGCGGAAACCCCUGGCUGAGGUGCGGGAGAGCUCACAGCUGGCUCUGGAUGCUGUGGCUGCUGGUCUGGGGACUGAACAGGAGAGUGGACUACAGACGGUGAGAGAACGGAUGACUGAAUAACAGGAUGCUGGACGACAGACUGAACUGACUGGACAGGCUGGAGGACAGGUGACUGGGUGACAGCAGGCAACCGGGGAGCAGGGCACUGAGCUACGGGGGGCGACUGGACUGACUGGACAGGAGGCGACUGGAGAACGGGGGACUGGAGGACAGGAGGAGACUGAACUACAGGAGAGGACUGGAGGACAGAAGGAGACUGAACUACAGGAGAGGACUGGAGGACAGAAGGAGACUGAACUACAGGAGAGGACUGGAGGACAGAAGGAGACUGAACUACAGGAGAGGACUGGAGGACAGAAGGAGACUGGACUACAGGAGAGGACUGGAGGACAGGAGAGGACUGGACUACAGACUGGGCUGGAGAGGACUGGACUACAGACUGGGCUGGAGAGGACUGGACUACAGACUGGGCUGGAGAGGACUGGACUACAGACUGGGCUGGAGAGGACUGGACUACAGACUGGACUGGAGAGGACUGGACUACAGACUGAGCUACAGGGGCUGACUGGAGUGGAGCAGGCUGUACUACUGACUGGAGUGGAGCAGGCGACUGAGCUACAGGUGACUGGACGAGAGCAGGUGACUGAGCUACAGGAGACUGGACGAGAGCAGGUGACUGAGCUACAGGAGACUGGACGAGAG